CGGCUGCAUCGCCCAGUGGCGCCGGGAUCCCUUCCCUCUGGACAGUCAGGACGCACGUCCUAGACACCAGAGCCAGCCCCUGCAGGAGCUCGACUCGACAGUUCUCCAAUAGCAAGUAGGGAAACCAGGAGUGAGAUUCCUCUUCCCGCAGACGCUUUCUCUCGCUCCUAUCUUUUUCAUUCUUCCUUAACCAGUUCCUAGAAACAUCUACCCAGGCUAAUUCAUUUCUGCUCUUGUAUAUGCAAAACAAGGUCAGGUCGCUUCCAGUCCCGUGUUGCGCCUUGGUUUUGUACCUCCUUUCAGUAAGCAUCCAAGUUUUCUCUUCCUGGGCUUCAUUACACUGCCAAUUGAAUGUAAAGGCUUUUGAAACAGUUGAAUUUGAAGUAUCCUGAGGCUUAACUGCAUUGCCAACAAGUAAAAACCUGUCAUACAGUCCGUGGUGUUAAGGAAGAAGCAAGUUAAGUUUAAAGAAAAAGAAACUCAUCGUAUUACCAGAAAAAGUGCCAGACAUCAAUUUUAUCUGGCAACCAUCAAAAUACAUCAGACCACAAAACUAUACAUUCCUGGACCUCACAAGGAGCAUGGUAAGGAAUUGCAGCGAGCCAACCCAAGUGCUCAGCUACACCACAUCUGCAGUCUACAGUGUGGGUAGUGCCCGACGUUAACCACUGCAACCAAGAACGUGCAACAGCAAGAUAAAACAAAAUUUUAAAUUUUAAAAGUAACGGGUGGAAAUUUCAAAUCCACCUCCUCAGCUUCUGGUUUAAGAUCACAUAGCAUUAUUUAAUUCCCCAUCACACUGAACUCACUUUCAUUAAAAAAAAAAAAAAUACAGGAAGCCCAUGAAAAUGAAAUUUUUGUUUGCAACUGUAUUACUUUAUGAGACAGCAAAUGACAAAAAACAUGGGGAUUUAGGUCAGAGAACAGUUUUCCUGAUUGCCAGGUUGGUGGAACUUGUGUUACUAGAGUAUGUAUACUGAUAAUUGAUGUACACAGGGACCUCAAACAGGAAGUGUCCUUGGAACCUCAAGUCUAUCCAAUAGUCAUUUAUUCAACACCUACUGUGAAAAAUACAGUGGGGGUUAUGGAUUACAAGGGGCUGCCUGCACAGAAUUUGCAUUCUGGCUACAGAAGGGAAUGCCAAAGAGUUCAAAAAAGUGGAGACAUGUGGGCAGAGAGGAGAGGAGCAGGGAUGUUUACU